rnacentral:lncRNA from 1 species
AUGACCAUUCACUGUAAAUCCAAGCAGGACGAUCUUGGUUCCCAUCUUAUCCCUAUUAAAGGCAAGUAUGAGUUUUCAUUUCGGCCCAACUUUUGGGGGACAACACAAUUCUAUUGCAGUUUUCAGUGGGGAACUGAAUUUCACUAUUUCGACAUAUACAUGGGAGAUAGGGACCACGAGAAUUGUGAUAGUUAUAAGUGCAUAUGGAGCAUAAUACCAAAGGGUCCUUGCAUGUGGAACUAUUUAACCGGUCAUUACGACAUUUGCAAAGACUGGAACGAUAGUAGUCUGAAAUCAUAUGCUCCUUAA